UCGUAACAAGGUCUCCGUUGGUGAACCAGCGGAGGGAUCAUUACUGAGUUUACGCUCUAUAACCCUUUGUGAACAUACCUAUAACUGUUGCUUCGGCGGGUAGGGUCUCCGCGACCCUCCCGGCCUCCCGCCUCCGGGCGGGUCGGCGCCCGCCGGAGGAUAACCAAACUCUGAUUUAACGACGUUUCUUCUGAGUGGUACAAGCAAAUAAUCAAAACUUUUAACAACGGAUCUCUUGGUUCUGGCAUCGAUGAAGAACGCAGCGAAAUGCGAUAAGUAAUGUGAAUUGCAGAAUUCAGUGAAUCAUCGAAUCUUUGAACGCACAUUGCGCCCGCCAGCAUUCUGGCGGGCAUGCCUGUUCGAGCGUCAUUUCAACCCUCAAGCUCUGCUUGGUGUUGGGGCCCUACAGCUGAUGUAGGCCCUCAAAGGUAGUGGCGGACCCUCCCGGAGCCUCCUUUGCGUAGUAACUUUACGUCUCGCACUGGGAUCCGGAGGGACUCUUGCCGUAAAACCCCCCAAUUUCCAAAGGUGACCUCGGAUCAGGUAGAAUACAAAGC
rnacentral:rRNA from 1 species